UGAUAAUGGUGAGGACAACUAAUGAGUAAAUAUUUAAAACUAUCCCAGACUUAGUAUAAGUUCUCUCCUGAUUUUUAUUUAAAACUUAAGAUUUCACUUCUCAGCUU